rnacentral:rRNA from 1 species
AGCUCCAAUAGCGUAUAUUAAAGUUGUUGCAGUUAAAAAGCUCGUAGUUGGAUUUCUGGGAGGGUGCCAACGCCCGCCGACGUGCGUGUGCAGCGGCGCCCUUCCAUCCUUCUGUUAACGCCUCUCGGCAUUCAUUUGCUGGUGGCGGGCUCAGAUAUUUUACCUUGAGAAAAUUAGAGUGUUUCAGGCAGGCUAGGCCGGAAUACAUUAGCAUGGAAUAAUGGAAUAGGACUACGGUCUCUUUGUUGGUUUGAGGGACUGCAGUAAUGAUUAAUAGGGAUAGUUGGGGGCAUUAGUAUUUAAUUGUCAGAGGUGGAAUUCUCGGAUUUGUUAAAGACUAACUUAUGCGAAAGCAUUUGCCAAGGAUGUUUUCAUUA